UUGAGAAAAUAAUCUACUCCUUAUAAACUAUUACUAAAUUUCUCAAUUUUCCAAUAUCAACUCUUUACUUCCACAUUCUUACAUCCACUAACCCCAAAAAUUUCCUCACCACCUAAACACAGUCCAUUCGAAAUUAGAAAGGAACAGAACCCCGCAAACCCUUAAUUCCCAAAUUAGUUUCACACUUCCGCUCAAAACUCAAACCCUAAGCCCCAACCCCCACCACCACUCCUCCUGCGCCGACCACCUCCUGCCGCCGCAGCAGCCCUUGUGUUGCCGGCGCCGCCCAUAAUUUCAAGUGCGUAGAAUUUAUAUUUGGUUAGGAACCAUUGGGUCAUAUUCCUAUUAAGCUCCAACUCUACAAUUUCCCAUUUCUCAUUUCAGUUGUAAUAAUGGUUCUAGAAGCUAGGUUCAGUAAGAUUCCUCCUUGGAGAGUUUGUUAUUCUGCUUUCCUAUUUUUGCCUCUUUUUCCUUUUUUUUCUCUGUAAGUGACGAACAGGGCUCUACCAUAUUUCUAAUGAAAUUGGUAUUCAUAGUGUUUUUUUUUAUGGAUUAUAAUUUGUUAUUGAUAUUGAUUGAUAUUGAUUGAUAUUGUUAUGUUGAUAUUGUUUCGUUGAUUUAUAAGAAACCUCUGUAUCUCAGAGAAGCUCAGUGCUACAAUCCGCUUUUCCUACUAAUUUUUCUGUUGCUGGAAUUUAUAUGAUUUUUCUUGUUUUCUUUGUUUUGGGUUUAUGUACUUUUUGUUUUUUAUUUACAUGUAAUUUUGUCAGCUUGUAUUUAUUCGGAUACAUCUUAACCCGGCACCAACCUGUCAUUUUGAAGUUCAGAAAUCACAAAAAAAUUUGCCUUCUUAUGCGGAAGCUUAUUCUUGGUAAUGUAGAGAUGGAGUAUAUAAUUUUAAUUUUCAAGUGGUUGUAUGACAUUUACCAUUUGUUCAAUUGGAAAAAAGAAGCAUUUUGCUUGAACAUAUUAUAAAUACUUUCUGUAACGAGUUCAAAAGCAUGUAUAAGUUUCAUCAAAACUUGUAUAUCAUGUUUCUGGUUCAAUCUGAUGAUCUUUAAUUAAUAGCAGGGGAAAUACAUGUUGAAGAAGUAAUGCUAUAUUUAGGAUAUAAGAUUUUAACUCCAUCUUUCACCAUUCUCGAUCAAAUUUAAUAUGAACUUCUCUCUCUUCCUCUGUGCUGUUAUAUUGAAUUUGUGAGUUCCUUAAUCUUGACAGAUACUUUGGUCCCUGUGUUGAUGUGGUUCAUUUUUUACAAUGGCUCACGAUAUGUAACAGAGUUUUGCAAGAGCUGCUGAUAUAAAAAAGACGAGGACGUGUCUUUGAGGGAUAGAGUGAAGGAAAGAUAUAUUCCCCUCCGACAUACAAGUAUUUAAAUAAUUCAUAUACCUGUCUUGGAAAUAAUUAUAUAGUUGGGAGUAUGGAGUAUGGAGUAUAUAGUUGGGAGUAUGGGACUAGAAUUUUUGUAUUGCCUUCUUAUUAGGAAAAUGGGAAAAUACUAUCAAAGGAAAAUACAAAAAUUUGAAAAUUUGAAAAAAGGAAAAUAUGCAAAUGCGCAAUUAGGCAAUAAAAAAGUAAUACACAAGCAAUACAACGGCAAUAAAUUCGAUGGAUAAGCCCGCACCACGGUGAAGGACAUAAAAGUUUGAUGGAUAAAAAGCCCAAAAUGGAUAAAAAGGACGGAAAAAUUCGAUGGGUAAGCCCACACCAUAGUGUGAAGGGCAGAAACAAAAAACCCCAGAUGUUGGGAAUGAUAGCGUGUGUUGUCUAAUAUGCAGUCAAUUCGUAUUAGAAAUUGAGCUUUGUUACGUUCAAACUUUCUCUGUGAAUUUUAAGUGAUGGGGAAUAUGAAUUUCUGUCCCUCAACAUUCUCCUUGUUUUGAUAAAUAUACAGAUUUAAACUUGUCUUGUUUCUCAAAUAUCUUUUGGUUUGUACCUCUGACAAGUAAGAUGAAGAUGCAUAUCAAAAAGUACAGAUUAAAGUUCCCAAUACUGAAAACUCGAACAAAAAUUCUUUCUCCCAAUUACCACAGUACAAAAUUGAGGGGUUGCCAAUCUGCUAAGAACUAAUUAAUAUCUCGACCCCAAAAAAAAAAAAA